rnacentral:rRNA from 1 species
UCCCUAUGGGGUGCAGCAGGCGCGAAAACUUUACAAUGCCGGCAACGGCGAUAAGGGGACCUCGAGUGCCAGGUUACAAAUCUGGCUGUCGUGAUGCCUAAAAAGCAUUGCAUAGCAAGGGCCGGGCAAGACCGGUGCCAGCCGCCGCGGUAACACCGGCGGCUCGAGUGGUAACCGUUAUUAUUGGGUCUAAAGGGUCUGUAGCCGGCCGGAUAAGUCCCUUGGGAAAUCCAGCAGCUCAACUGUUGGGCUUUCAGGAGAUACUGUCUGGCUCGAGGCCGGGAGAGGUGAGAGGUACUUCAGGGGUAGGGGUGAAAUCUUGUAAUCCUUGAAGGACCACCAGUGGCGAAGGCGUCUCACCAGAACGGACCUGACGGCAAGGGACGAAAGCUAGGGGCACGAACCGGAUUAGAUACCCGGGUAGUCCUAGCCGUAAACGAUACUCGCUAGGUGUCGGCCACGGUGCGACCGUUGUCGGUGCCGUAGGGAAGCCGUGAAGCGAGCCACCUGGGAAGUACGGCCGCAAGGCUGAAACUUAAAGGAAUUGGCGGGGGAGCACCACAACGGGUGGAGCUUGCGGUUUAAUUGGAUUCAACGCCGGAAAUCUUACCGGGACCGACAGCAAUAUGAAGGCCAGGCUGAAGACUUUGCCGGAUUAGCUGAGAAGUGGUGCAUGGCCA